GGAAUCUGGUAUUGCCAGAUAAUUUCCACCUCAGCCACCUAAGAUGCUACAUGGUGCCACCCAGGCCAGGAGCCCAACUCUGGUGAUUCCCAGCCAGUAACACACAUCUGUGGAGUCAUCCUGGGAUCUCACUGUGGAGUUUGAUCAGUUCAUCCAGGAGACUUUCAUAUACUCCCCAUCCAUGUUGUCAAGCAGCCCAAGCCUUUCCUUUGGAUUCAGAUGUUGAGUUGCUUUUUCAUAGUUACUUAGUAGCUAGGUCUAGAAGUCCUGGCUCUUGAAUCAAAAUCUGGACUUCUGUGGAAGAGACUGUUGACUAGACACCAACAGUCAUAUUUUCUUCUUCGUUUCAGUUCUGUGAGACCCUGGGAUAGUCAAUGCACUGUCCAUGGAAGCCAUGAACUCCACUUCAGCACUGGCCCAUGAGCCUUCCCCACUUCUUCUGGGCUGUUUUUUCUUCCUGCUGGUUCAAACGGGGACAACUCCCAAGCGACCAUGGAAUUUACAUCUUGAAGAUGGUAGCUGCUCUGCCAGCUUGGCUCCUCCAAAUGACUGCAUGGGAAGUACCCCUGGCACCCUAUAAUCCAAACUGUUAUACAAGCAAGAAAUAAACCUCGAAUGUUUGGCGUGUAUUGGUUAUGCCAGUUAGCCCACCCUAACAAUCAGAAGUUGUUUGCCUGUUAGUUUGUUUCACUAUACGAAGCUUAUUCUGUUAGAUGGGCUUAUGUAGGAUUGCAAAUAAUAUUUCAUUUUCUUAAUGCAAAAUAGGUGAAUUCAGACACCAUGGUGAUCGUAUUUUGAAACGGAUAUCUCACUGUUUAUCUCCCUGUUGAAUUCCCUCUGUGAGUUUGCUUUGCUCUGAAUACAAAGACGGGAGAAAUGACGUAAUUUCUUCAAGAUCUUCAGCAACACUACAGUGAAAUUGAAACUAGAAGCAGAAAGCCAUGCAUCAUUUUUUGCAAGAAGCUUUCAACUUCAUCACAAUAGCUUUUUUCUUGAGUUUUCCAUGGCCCUUGGUCCGGUUCCCAACGCCUUUUCCCUUAAGGUGCCCAUGAGGUGGUCUGGACUGGUACAUCACAGCAUUGUUUCUGGCUGCAGACCUUUGGACUUGGACUUAACUUAUACCAUUGGUUCUCUUGGAUCUCCACUUUACUGAAUGCAGAUGUUGGAACAUCUCAACUUCUGUAAUCAUGUUCCUGAAGCAAAAGAUGACUGAAUCUCAACGUCACUGAACCUGGAGCUUUGUGGAUUGUGCUGCUGCCUACAUCAGGGACACUGCUCCACGGUACG
rnacentral:lncRNA from 1 species